rnacentral:rRNA from 1 species
UAGGGAAUCUUCGGCAAUGGGGGGAACCCUGACCGAGCAACGCCGCGUGAGUGAAGAAGGUUUUCGGAUCGUAAAGCUCUGUUGUUAAGGAAGAACGAGUGUGAGAAUGGAAAGUUCAUACUGUGACGGUACUUAACCAGAAAGGGACGGCUAACUACGUGCCAGCAGCCGCGGUAAUACGUAGGUGGCAAGCGUUGUCCGGAUUUAUUGGGCGUAAAGCGAGCGCAGGCGGUCAAUUAAGUCUGAUGUGAAAGCCCCCGGCUCAACCGGGGAGGGUCAUUGGAAACUGGUUGACUUGAGUGCAGAAGAGGAGAGUGGAAUUCCAUGUGUAGCGGUGAAUUGCGUAGAUAUAUGGAGGAACACCAGUGGCGAAGGCGACUCUCUGGUCUGUAACUGACGCUGAGGUUCGAAAGCGUGGGUAGCAAACAGG